CUCCUGCCCCAGAUCCGUCGGCAACAGUGCCAGAUCCGCAAGCCAGUGGCUGGAUCCGACGAGCCACGCCCAUGGAGCCCCACCUACUCUGGCCCCCGACGACUCCAUCGAUUCAUGUGGCGGCGUUUGCAGUUUUUUUCGCUCGAGGAUGCCAUGGCUGUUCUCCGGUGUAUUGCUUUGGUCGCCAUCGAUCAUGCUGCGGUUCAUUGUGCGCGCGUGCGUUGGUGAGGGCAGUCUGGCAUGCGCGCGCGUGCAUAACGAUUGUGUCGGCGAGGCAGCUCGUGUGGUUCCUUCAGUGCUCCCCAGAUCUUGCCUUCAGCUUGGUUUGUGUGUGAAGUGGAGUUUGCUGCCACGGGUGGCUGGCGUCGACGUGCCUCCAGAAGAAACUCUCUCCUCAACUCGUCGUAGUUCCCCGGCGGCAGGAGAGAAGUGCACUGCUCUAGGGUGCUCUCCUUCACGGGGGCUGGUGGUCAGCCGCUACGGUGCAGCUCAAAAACAAAAACAUAUGCCAGACGGUUCGGUGCUUUGGCCAGGAUGGCGACGAGUGCUGCUCCGGGUCAACGCCAUUGUGCCUCCUACUGCGGAGUGCAGUACUCACCUCACCGCGCUGCAGUCCGUAUUUCCAAUGCAUGCAGCUCGCAACCCGCCGAUGUGCCGUCUAGCAAAAAUUCUGCAGUGCACUUGCCCAUGAGAAGUUCACUUCUUUUUCUAAUGCACUUUGUUUCGUUUGUGGCUCUCGAAAACAUGCAUAGAAGAAAAGAAAAAAAAUUAAGUGCA